CCACAACCCACAAUGAGAAGCUUGAACACCGCAACUAGAGAGUAGCCCCUACUCACCACAACCUGGGCACAGCAACAGCCACAAAUAAAAAUAAUAGGAGUGCUGGGUGGUAGGGGGUGCUAGCUCAUGGCAGGAAGCUGGGAAGCUGGAAGACUUUCAUUUGCUCUUGCCUCUGAUUUCAGGGUUGGUGUGCCACUGCCUUCUUCCUCGUGAAUCUCCAGCAUCAGUCCAGAGAGAACCCAAGCCCAGGACCAUUUUGCCCCCACUUCACAUUGCAUCCCUUGGUGACUUCAGCCACCUCUGCCUGCAUUCAUCCACAGGACAGGCUCUGAUCCCAGAAGUGAUGUCCAGAGCUGCUGCAACCAUAUGUUUCAACAUAAAUACGGUGAAUGAAAGUAAAGCAAUAGACAAAGCAGCUCUCUGCCGCAUCAGUG
ensembl:lncRNA